UACGUAGGGUGCGAGCGUUUAAUCGGAAUUACUGGGCGUAAAGCGUGCGCAGGCGGUUUGCUAAGACCGAUGUGAAAUCCCCGGGCUUAACCUGGGAACUGCAUUGGUGACUGGCAGGCUAGAGUAUGGCAGAGGGGGGGUAGAAUUCCACGUGUAGCAGUGAAAUGCGUAGAGAUGUGGAGGAAUACCGAUGGCGAAGGCAGCCCCCCUGGGCCAAUACUGACGCUCAUGCACGAAAGCG
rnacentral:rRNA from 1 species